GACGAACGCUGGCGGCGUGCUUAACACAUGCAAGUCGAGCGGGAAACUUCGGUUUCCAGCGGCGGACGGGUGAGUAACACGUGGGCAACCUGCCUCACGAUGAGGGAUAGCCCUCCGAAAGGAGGAUUAAUACCUCAUAACACAAGAGAAACGCAUGUUUCUCUUGCCAAAGAAUUUCGUUGUGAGAUGGGCCCGCGGCGCAUUAGCUUGUUGGUGAGGUAACGGCUCACCAAGGCUUCGAUGCGUAGCCGACCUGAGAGGGUGAUCGGCCACAUUGGAACUGAGACACGGUCCAGACUCCUACGGGAGGCAGCAGUGGGGAAUAUUGCACAAUGGAGGAAACUCUGAUGCAGCAACGCCGCGUGAGUGAUGAAGGUCUUCGGAUUGUAAAGCUCUGUCUUCUGGGACGAUAAUGACGGUACCAGAGGAGGAAGCCACGGCUAACUACGUGCCAGCCGCCGCCGUAAUAC
rnacentral:rRNA from 1 species